rnacentral:tRNA from 1 species
UGGGACCCAAUAGAACUGCAUAUCGCCUGCUUUGGGAGCAGGAUGUCGUAGGUUCGAAUCCUAUCGCCCCGACCA